CUCUAAGAUAGUUCUAUUACAAAAUCUUUGUGGUACAAGAAAUCGUGGCCGUCAAACCCUACUACCCAAAACCCUAAUUAUCAAACCCUGCACCUAUAAAAGGGUCUCCACAUUUAGGGUUUACUUGUAUAUUUUUGCAACCAAUACAGCCAUGGCGGGUAACUGCGUUGCUUUGGUUCGCCGAAAUUCGUUUUUCCUUCUCGAUCUGUGAUUCCGCAAGAUGGAUUCAGAGCGAUUGCUCUUUCUUUCGCUUGCAUAGUUUCCUUUUAACCCUCUCUGAGAAUUUUUUUAUUUUUUUUAUUAUUAUUUUUACUGUUGUUUUUCUAUUAUUACUAAUAUUUUGAGAAAUUAUCCAUCUUUAUCGUUUUCAUCGAUUUUGUAUGUAUUAUUUUGGCCUUGUUCUCAAAAUAUUCGCAGUGGCCGCCGCCUGUUGCCGGGUUUGAGAGCUGUUCAUAUUCUUCAUUGGAUGAGAGUUUUCUGCAAUGUGUAUUGGGUAUUUAUGUUUUUAACUGGUUGGCAUAAACUGUUAUGUUCUUGUGCUAUGUAGGAUUGGAAUGGCAUCUUUUCAAACUUUGCUGUAUCAUAUACUUGUGAUUUUGUAAAAUUCUUCCUUGGAUGUGUGACCUCUUCUGUCUUUUACUUAUGCCCUAAUGAAAUUUAAGGUGGUAACUCGUUGGAUAUUUUAUUAUUAUUAGUAUUAUGUGCUUAUGUCAAACCUUGAUGCUUAUGAUGACAAAUUCUAAGGCUUGUUUCUCAAAACAUUCGCAGUGGCCGCCUAAGAGCUUUCGCCCACGCCUGGCUAGAGAGCUGUUGCUGCUCUUAUCCUUCCUUGGAUGUCUGAGGCUAUUUAUUUAUUUAUUUAUUUAUUUUUUUAAUGUUUUGGUUGCUCUUACUCUGUGCAUACAUUCCUUCCUUAAUGCAAUGAUUUUUUUUGUUUUUUUGGUGUUUCAUUUAGAAUUGCCAAAAGUAUUUGGUUUCUUUGAUUUUGUUAUCUGAAUAUCAAUGCAUAUGAUGACAUAUCCAAUGGCUUGUUUCUCAAAACAUUCGCAGUGGCCGCCUAAGAGCUUUCGCCUACGCCAGGCUAGAGAGCUGAUGCUGCAUUUAUCCUUCCUUGGAUGUCUGAGGCCUUUAUUGUUUCUGUUGUAUGCAUUAAUUUCUUAAAUAAUGAUUGAAUUUUAUCUUCGUGGUGUUGCUUCUAGAAUUUGCUUAUUAUUAUUUUUUUUGGUUUGUUUGAUUUUUUUUUAGUUAAACAUCAAUGCUUAUGAUGAUAAAUCCAAAGGCUUGUUUCUCAAAACAUUCGCAGUGGCCGCCUAAGAGCUUUCGCCUACGCCAGGCUUGAGAGCUAGUGCUGCUCUUAUCCUUCCUUGGAUGUCUGAGGCUUUAACUUUUCCUGUUGUGUGCAUUAAUUUCUUAGUUAAUGACUGGAUUUUUGUUGAUCAUGAGUGCUUAUGAUGAUAAAAAAUCCAAAGGCUUGUUUUCUCAUAACAUUCAUAGAAUUUGUGAAGUGCUUUUCUCUUUUCUUUUUUUUCUUUCUUUUUUUUUUUGGGUUUAUUUUGUUAUGAACUGAUGCUUAUGAUGACAAAUUCGAAGGCUUGUUUCUCACAACAUUCGCAGUGGCUGCCUAAGAGCUUUCGCCUUUGCCAGGCUAGAGAGCUGGUGCUGCUUCUAUCCUUCCUUGGAUGUCUGAGGCGCAUUCCUUUUGAUUUCCUGACAUUUGCAGUUGCCAAUUGAGUGCUUUUGCCUUCUAGUGCGUUUGAGAGCUUUUGCUUCUUUUAUACUUCUUUGAAUGCCUUGAGAUAAAGUUUUUCAUGCCUGUAUAAUCAACUAAUCUCAUAAUGUUAAUAAAAAUCUUAAAGUUGUACGAUAA